rnacentral:lncRNA from 1 species
ACGUGGAGUUUAUGUGAACGUGGAGUUUAUGUGAACGUGGAGUUUAUGUGAACGUGGAGGUUAUGUGAACGUGAAGUUUAUGUGAACGUGGAGGUUAUGUGAAUGUGGAGUUUAUGUGAACGUGAAGUUGUGUAGUUUAUGUGAUGGUGCAUUUUUGUGUGUUUAUGAAGUUUUUGUUUUGGUUGUGUUCUUUUUCUCGUGCGUUUAGUGUUUUUCUUGUUUCGAUUGUGUUUUUGGCUGUGUUUUUUUAUGGGAGAGAGAGAGAGAGGGCGAUACCGUGACCCACUUGUGUCAUCCAAGCGUCAGUUACUUAGCUGUUCCAGCUAAACCAAGUCGCCUCCAAUUUUUUUU